rnacentral:rRNA from 1 species
GACGAACGCUGGCGGCGUGCCUAAUACAUGCAAGUAGAACGCUGAAGAGAGGAGCUUGCUCUUCUUGGAUGAGUUGCGAACGGGUGAGUAACGCGUAGGUAACCUGCCUUAUAGCGGGGGAUAACUAUUGGAAACGAUAGCUAAUACCGCAUAACAAUGGAUGACACAUGUCAUUUAUUUGAAAGGGGCAAUUGUUCCACUACAAGAUGGACCUGCGUUGUAUUAGCUAGUAGGUGAGGUAAUGGCUCACCUAGGCGACGAUACAUAGCCGACCUGAGAGGGUGAUCGGCCACACUGGGACUGAGACACGGCCCAGACUCCUACGGGAGGCAGCAGUAGGGAAUCUUCGGCAAUGGGGGCAACCCUGACCGAGCAACGCCGCGUGAGUGAAGAAGGUUUUCGGAUCGUAAAGCUCUGUUGUAAGUCAAGAACGGGUGUGAGAGUGGAAAGUUCACACUGUGACGGUAGCUUACCAGAAAGGGACGGCUAACUACGUG